rnacentral:rRNA from 1 species
CGCCCGCUCAGAAACUUAAAGGAAUUUGACGGGGGGCCCGCACAAGCAGCGGAGCAUGUGGUUUAAUUCGAAGCAACGCGAAGAACCUUACCAAGACUUGACAUCCCCUGACAGCUGUUGAAAGGCAGUGUCUCUUCGGAGCAGGGAGACAGGUGGUGCAUGGUUGUCGUCAGCUCGUGUCGUGAGAUGUUGGGUUAAGUCCCGCAACGAGCGCAACCCUUAUCCUUAGUUACCAGCACGUAAAGGUGGGGACUCUAGGGAGACCGCCGGGGACGACUCGGAGGAAGGUGGGGACGACGUCAAAUCAUCAUGCCCCUUAUGUCUUGGGCUACACACGUGCUACAAUGGCCGCAACAGAGGGAAGCGAGAGCGCAAGCUGGAGCAAAACCCUAAAAAGCGGUCCCAGUUCGGAUUGUGGGCUGCAACCCGCCCACAUGAAGUCGGAGUUGCUAGUAAUCGCGAAUCAGCAUGUCGCGGUGAAUGCGUUCCCGGGCCUU